rfam:Kluyvera ascorbata ATCC 33433 GKAS.assembly.044, whole genome shotgun sequence.
GCAUCAGCAGCAUUAUGACCAUUACCACCACCACUAUUACCACAGGUAACGGUGCGGGCUGACGCGUACAGGAAAC